UAGAGUUUGAUCCGGCUCAGGAUGAACGCUAGCUACAGGCUUAACACAUGCAAGUCGAGGGGCAGCAUUUUAGUUUGCUUGCAAACUAAAGAUGGCGACCGGCGCACGGGUGAGUAACACGUAUCCAACCUGCCGAUAACUCGGGGAUAGCCUUUCGAAAGAAAGAUUAAUAUCCGAUAGUAUAUUAAAACCGCAUGGUUUUACUAUUAAAGAAUUUCGGUUAUCGAUGGGGAUGCGUUCCAUUAGUUUGUUGGCGGGGUAACGGCCCACCAAGACUACGAUGGAUAGGGGUUCUGAGAGGAAGGUCCCCCACAUUGGAACUGAGACACGGUCCAAACUCCUACGGGAGGCAGCAGUGAGGAAUAUUGGUCAAUGGACGAGAGUCUGAACCAGCCAAGUAGCGUGAAGGAUGACUGCCCUAUGGGUUGUAAACUUCUUUUAUAUGGGAAUAAAGUAUUCCACGUGUGGAAUUUUGUAUGUACCAUAUGAAUAAGGAUCGGCUAACUCCGUGCCAGCAGCCGCGGUAAUACGGAGGAUCCGAGCGUUAUCCGGAUUUAUUGGGUUUAAAGGGAGCGUAGGUGGAUUGUUAAGUCAGUUGUGAAAGUUUGCGGCUCAACCGUAAAAUUGCAGUUGAAACUGGCAGUCUUGAGUACAGUAGAGGUGGGCGGAAUUCGUGGUGUAGCGGUGAAAUGCUUAGAUAUCACGAAGAACUCCGAUUGCGAAGGCAGCUCACUAGACUGCAACUGACACUGAUGCUCGAAAGUGUGGGUAUCAAACAGGAUUAGAUACCCUGGUAGUCCACACAGUAAACGAUGAAUACUCGCUGUUUGCGAUAUACAGUAAGCGGCCAAGCGAAAGCAUUAAGUAUUCCACCUGGGGAGUACGCCGGCAACGGUGAAACUCAAAGGAAUUGACGGGGGCCCGCACAAGCGGAGGAACAUGUGGUUUAAUUCGAUGAUACGCGAGGAACCUUACCCGGGCUUAAAUUGCAUUUGAAUAAUCUGGAAACAGGUUAGCCGCAAGGCAAAUGUGAAGGUGCUGCAUGGUUGUCGUCAGCUCGUGCCGUGAGGUGUCGGCUUAAGUGCCAUAACGAGCGCAACCCUUAUCUUUAGUUACUAACAGGUCAUGCUGAGGACUCUAGAGAGACUGCCGUCGUAAGAUGUGAGGAAGGUGGGGAUGACGUCAAAUCAGCACGGCCCUUACGUCCGGGGCUACACACGUGUUACAAUGGGGGGUACAGAAGGCAGCUACCUGGUGACAGGAUGCUAAUCCCAAAAACCUCUCUCAGUUCGGAUCGAAGUCUGCAACCCGACUUCGUGAAGCUGGAUUCGCUAGUAAUCGCGCAUCAGCCAUGGCGCGGUGAAUACGUUCCCGGGCCUUGUACACACCGCCCGUCAAGCCAUGAAAGCCGGGGGUACCUGAAGUACGUAACCGCAAGGAGCGUCCUAGGGUAAAACUGGUAAUUGGGGCUAAGUCGUAACAAGGUACCCGUA
rnacentral:rRNA from 1 species